UUUCUCUUUGGCAGCAUAUAUAUGAAAUUGGAAUGAUAUAGGAAUUAACAUGGCCUCUGAGUGGGAUGACAUGAAAAUUUCUAAAAUGUUCCAUAUUUU
ensembl:snRNA Gm27975 predicted gene, 27975